rnacentral:rRNA from 1 species
AUUGAACGCUGGCGGAAUGCUUUACACAUGCAAGUCGAACGGGAGAGGGGGCAACCCCUCGAGAGUGGCGAACGGGUGAGUAAUAUAUCGGAGCGUGCCCAGUCGUGGGGGAUAACGUAGCGAAAGUUACGCUAAUACCGCAUACGAUCUAAGGAUGAAAGCGGGGGAUCGCAAGACCUCGCGCGAUUGGAGCGGCCGAUAUCAGAUUAGGUAGUUGGUGGGGGAAAGGCUCACCAAGCCAACGAUCUGUAGCUGGUCUGAGAGGACGACCAGCCACACUGGAACUGAGACACGGUCCAGACUCCUACGGGAGGCAGCAGUGGGGAAUUUUGGACAAUGGACGCAAGUCUGAUCCAGCCAUUCCGCGUGCAGGAUGAAGGCCCUCGGGUUGUAAACUGCUUUUGUACGGAACGAAAAGGUCUCUCUUAAUACGGGGGACUCAUGACGGUACCGUAAGAAUAAGCACCGGCUAACUACGUGCCAGCAGCCGCAGUAACAC